AUAGAAAAUAGGGCCUGCCCACUGAAGUUUAAAGGGCUGCGGUAUUUUGACCGUACUAAGGUAGCAUAAUCAUUUGUUCUUUAAUUGGGGACUGGUAUGAAUGGUUUAACUUUAAUUUUAUUGUCUUUUUAGCAUAAGUUGAAAUUUAUUUUUAUGUGAGGAAGCGUAAAUAGGUAAAUAAGACAAGAAGACCCUAUGAAGGUUUAUAAUUUUGUAUUUUGAAAAUAGAAUUUGAAUUACAGUAUUAUUGAGCUGGGGCGGUAUAUUUUUGUAAACUGAAGUGUAAUAUUAUUUGAAUUGAAUAUAAUGAUCCAAAUGUUGAUUUAUUGAAUAAGUUACUCUAGGGAUAACAGCAUAAUUUAUUUUGAUAGUUCGUAUUGGUAAAUAAGUUUGUGACCUCGAUGUUGGAUUAGGAUUCCUUUUAUUUGUAGCAGAAUAUAAAGGUUGUCUGUUCGACAAUUAAAAUCCUACA
rnacentral:rRNA from 1 species